CCGGCGACCGGCGCACGGGUGAGUAACACGUAUGCAACCUGCCCGUGGCAGGGGGAUAAGCGGGGGAAACCCCGUCUAAUACCGCGUAACGCGGCCUUGGGGCAUCCCAAGGCCGCCAAAGGGAGCAAUCCCGGCCACGGAUGAGCAUGCGGCGCAUUAGCUAGUCGGCGGGGUAACGGCCCACCGAGGCGACGAUGCGUAGGGGUUCUGAGAGGAAGGCCCCCCACACUGGUACUGAGACACGGACCAGACUCCUACGGAAGGCAGCAG
rnacentral:rRNA from 1 species